rnacentral:misc_RNA from 1 species
GUUGAUAUGAAAUCAAGAUAUAAUCUUUAUUACUGAUUGUGAAAAUUACAGGUAGCAUUCCCGGUUCAGCUAUUAUGCUGCCGGAUCGGGGUUGUUACAAGUGAUAUGCUGUGAGAUUUCUAAUUUAUUAUAUAUAUAUAUAUAAAACUAAAGAAAAACUUGCCAUACAAAACCCUCGACAGAGUCAGCAAAACCACCAGCAAAAGGAAAGCAAAAGAUCGAGGAAACAGAAAGCAGCAGAUUCAGGGUUACACUGUAUCUUUGUAUCACAAUACAGAGUCUGAUUCUUCACUAGCGCACACAAAGGGAUGAACCAACAAGAUCCCCUCCUGUCAUCAUCAUCCCGACGGGAAAUUCCGCUGUCGACAAGGAGCAUUGGAUGUAUGUCUGGCAUUUUUCAGCUCGUUUGCAAAUAUCAUAAUCGCCGGAGAUUCCUCACUUCCAGUAUUUUUCUUUUCUUUUCUUUUUUAUUACUUUUUUUUUUUUCUGUGUUAGUAAUACAAAUUUUUUGUUAGAGAAAGAACCGCAAAAGAAUGUCUUCUUUUCUCCAGCAAUGUCGUCAUCUUCCCAGCCUUCUUGCUCUUCUCCACCACAAGAAGAUACCAUCCACCACCUUGUUCCCAGAAGUCCUACGCUGCCGGCAGAGAUGAGAGCCUCGCAGCCAGCGCUGGUGGCAAGGCUUAUGGGACUGAACGACAUUCCAGCAGCAGCAAUAGCGGCGGAGAAGCGUCGGAGACUCUUAGGAGCACUAGAGAAAUGCGAUGAGGACUUGAAGACUCUAAAGAAGAUGAUUGAGGUGGUGAAGAGCGUAGGUGACCAAGGUGAUAAAAUUCAAGUAUAUUACCGUACAGGAGAUAAGUUGAAGACUGCGAGUCCAGUGUCAGUGGUGGACGAGUUCACUCGGUCGGCUUUCUGCGGCUAUUCAAAACGUCACAACACAAAUAUUGGACAAGCGCCACAACAAAGGAAGAGGAAGGUGGGAGAUGAGGACAUCACCAGCAUAAGUUUGGUAGACAGAAUAAAGAGUGAAAUAAUGAUUCCAUCUGAAAGAAGUGAAAACUUAGCUUCGCCUAUAUGGAGCAGCACAGCCAUGGUAGAGAGUGUAAAUGAAGCAUGUAAGGAUAUUGAAUGGGGACAGAGGAGAGAAAUUGGGAGAAUAGGAUUGGCUUUGCAAGAUUACAUAUUCAGAGACCUGAUUGAAGAGAUUGUUAGAGAAAUGGGAUUUUGUUGCAUUUGCCCACCAUUGCCACUCGAAUCAUGUAAGAGAAGACUGCGUUUCUACUAAAUCAUAAAAGUGCAUGCAAAUAAUAUAUAUAUAUUUUUUUAAUCAAACAUUUAUCAGGAAGUUUUUGUAGACACAGAUGGACAUAGAGUUUUGUCAUGUAUUGCUUUAUUGCUUAUUUAUGCAAGUUACAAUUUUAGAGAUGUUUUGGUUUAAGAUAGAAUUUUUGCUUAUUUAUUUUUAGUUUUCAAUCUUUAAAAUUAG